AAGGGUCAAGAGCAUCUCUCAGUUCCCCAAUAAGCUGUUCUCAGUCGGACAUGUUUGCUGAGCUGGAGGCUACAGCACCUCGGAGUGUGUCCUGUCAAUCCUUGGAUCAUGUUGACUGUAGUGACAUGGAAAUCACCUCACCUACCACAGAUCUGAGUCCCGGUCUGGCCGCUCUGACGGUCGGCUGUGACUCUGGUGACCUGGGUUCUCUAUCCCGAGUGCAGCUCUUGCUCCUGGAAAGAGGAACAUCUGAGGGUCUGGAACCCCUGCCAGAUCUAGAAUGGAACAGUCCGAUAGAGGAGAGAGGAGACUAUGAACCUGGGCUUCAAGUUUGGAGCUUGGGCAUUCCCCAACAUUAUCAGUGCACAGAUCCCUAUGCACAGGUGAGCAGCAGUGUGUCACUAAGUGUGAGGCACUUUCCACUCGGACAAGUGGACAUCACAAGUGGAACUCCGGGGAGAUUAAGGAAGAGGGGAAAGGGCAUGGCUCUGAGGCGAAACGGUAGCAGCAAGUGGUAUGAUCCGGAGCAUCCGCAGGUGCACGGGUGUAUUAAAGGCGUUAUUGAUCUUUCUCUAUUAAGUCUUUGAGAAUUUAGCUGGAGAAAUGAGCGGCCUGUGGGCCUCUGUCGCGAUGGAGGUCCCGGGGGCUCAUUAUCCAGGGAGCUGCUUCAUGCAGAGAUGCCACUGUGCUGAACAGAUCACACACACACACACACACACACACACACACACACACACACAUACACUCACACACCUCAUGAUCAUUAAACGUGAUCCAUCAUAAACAUUAACAUUAUGUAUAUUUUUGUGUGUGUUUGCAGGAAAAGCUUAGCGAUGCUGAAGACAUCUCGAGAUCUUCCUCCUGGUCUCUCAGUUGUGCGUCGAGAGAAAACACGCCGUGGGAGGAAGAAGUUACGGCGCAAUCAGGAGGAAGUGACGUCAUGAGCGACGCCGAUCUCCACCCGAGCGCACAGCCAACCGAGCCCAGAGUGACUGAAGGAACCUCACAAAAAGCGGCUUGUCCAGGAAAGCGAGAGCGACCUGUUACAGGAGUGCGCAGGGGCCCGAACCAAAUCAAAGACAGGAGGAGGAGGCAUCACAGGAAGAUGCUGGGAGAGAAGGGAGAAGAGCGGAAGAGCAAAGCACUGCAAAUUUACACCAGACUGCGAGACGGAAACAAGCCGACUGAGCCCAGCAAGCCGAGAAGCUGUUCCAGGUUUGAGGACUUUGAUUUCCUGGCCAAGUACUGCAUUAUCAGUCCUGAGAAGCUCGCCGCAUACAGACGUGCUUUUGAAGCUGUGGACAGUGAUGGUGAUGGCUAUCUAUCGUGCUUUCAAGUACUGCUGGCUCUAAAGGAGAUCAUUCCUCCAGAACUGCUGACUGAAGAGGAGGAAAUCUAUGUGUACAGGAUUCUAGAGCUGGUUGAUUUCAGCGUGACUGAGGGUCUGACGGAUUUGCGUCUCUUCGCCGUCGUUGCCAGUCUGGCACAGAAGAUAGCCACACUAGAUGAUUUCAUGCGGUCUCUCAUUAGCAAGAUGGACUUCAAGUCUUUGGAGAUGAAGCUGUACAAAGCAAAGAUUACAAGCGGUAAUCUCAUUAAAGUAGCCGGCGGUGUACGGCCAGUGCUAUGCGCUCUGUAAUCAAGUAAAGACAC
ensembl:lncRNA